GUAGGGCGCAAGCGUUAUCCGGAAUUAUUGGGCGUAAAGAGCUCGUAGGCGGUUUGUCGCGUCUGCCGUGAAAGUCCGGGGCUCAACUCCGGAUCUGCGGUGGGUACGGGCAGACUAGAGUGAUGUAGGGGAGACUGGAAUUCCUGGUGUAGCGGUGAAAUGCGCAGAUAUCAGGAGGAACACCGAUGGCGAAGGCAGGUCUCUGGGCAUUAACUGACGCUGAGGAGCGAAAGCAUGGGGGGAGCGAACAGGAUUAGAUACCCUGGUAGUCCAUGCCCGUAAACGUUGGGCACUAGGUGUGGGGGACAUUCCACGUUUUCCGCGCCGUAGCUAACGCAUUAAGUGCCCCCCGCCUGGGAGUACGGCCGCAAGGCUA
rnacentral:rRNA from 1 species